AUCCAAGAACUUACGGGAAGAGAGGAGCAAGCGAGCUGAGCCGUCAUGUUUACAUAGAGAGAAGGGAAGUCUUUUUGAAGCAAAUGUUUAAGGUAGGAAUAAUGCCUCAAGUCUCUCUCUCUCUAAUGCAAUUAUCAGAAUAUAUCUUAGAUUAAUAUUAGAUAUAAGUAUUUAUUAAUUAAGAGUUUACAUCACCUCCUACGACUCU